UCAGUUGCAGGAAGCAGAAGGUACAGAACAAUGUUUUAUUCCGGCACAGAGAAAAAUGUUCACGCCAAUUCCGGGCGCACAUAAAAGACCGGCCCAAAACCAGGACCCAACCAGUCCGGAGGAAAACCAAAGGGAAACGCACUACCACAAACAUACACAGAGGAAAAAUAAGACCGCGCAAAGAGCAGGCGGGCCUUACUGGCUUAAAUAGCUAGUAGACCGGUGACGACGACCGCCGAGCGCCACCCGAACAGGAAGAGGAGCCACCUUCGGUGGGAGUCGUACAGAAUGCUUCAAUCUAGUUGACAUAGCGGCAGAGAAGAAUGCCCAGACUCUGUCAGGACACACCUGCAGCCCAGGCUGCUCUCUUAGCACCUCUCCUGCCAUUCCUGACCCCCAACGAUGCUGCAUCCCUCCCUCAAUCUGAGAAAGAAGUUGGCUAGAUGUUAUGAGAACCCAAAACAAGAGACUACCCUCUACUAAACACUGGAAUCAAAGGCAAGCAGGAGGGGAAACAGGCUUUGAACAUAACAUGUGUCAGUCCCCCAAAAGCAGCCCUUUUAAGAUCACUGUAUGGAAGGUAAAUAUUUUUGUCUGGCAUAUGUAGUGGCUGCAGGAAGCAUGCCAUCCAUUUCUUUCUAGUCUUUUUUUAAAUUGGAAAACAUUAUUUUUUCAUCUUUACUAGUAGUUUUAGUCUACUCUUUGUUAGAGGUGAGAUGGGCCUAACUCUUUCAGAGCAUUUCUUUAUUGAUUUAUGUUGUUUUGAAUUUCAUUAAUAUGUAUCUUUACAUUCAGAAAAAACAUUUGCAAAUACACAUAAACAUGCUUAGUUUUUAGCUAACUCUGGGCAAAGGAACAGUAGGGUAACAAUAUGAAUAAUCUCCACAGACCGUUCUCUCCUAAACCAGCAGGUGGCACUGUAUACUCACCAAUGAACAGUUAAAGGUAGCAAUGGAAAACCUGUAGCAUGUUACUCCACUACAGAAUGUAGAACUAUUAUAUAUAUUAUCUAAUCUAGUGGUUCUUAAGCACAUGAUUUUCCCAAAAGUUAAAACACUUAUUUACAGAUUGGAUGUGAAUUCUGAUUUGUAAUUGCAUGUUAUUUUAUAUUUGGUAAGCUUUUUAAAUAGACUCGUACCCGUGUACGGGUUGAAAAUGGCAGAUUUGGGUACUGAUAAACGCCUAAAUUGGAAUGCAGUAACAUGCUAUGAAUGACAUCAGAACUCAUUCUCUGCACUUCACAGUGCUGUAUGGGUUUUGAGUGAGAGACUUUCUGAACUUGAGCACCGCAUGCGACAAGAAGUUGCCCCCAGCCUUCCUGCUAAUUGGGUAACUUAUCACAUGUUUGGUUGUCUGAGUGAGGGAAAUGCUGUAAAUUUAAGGACUUGAUAUAUUUUGAAAGAUGAGACUUUGAGGAUUAUAAUAAGCACCGCUUUGAUGUCAUACAAGCAAAUCAAACACCUGAGUCCAAAUGUGCACUUCAGAUUUCCAUAUCAUAAAACUCAUGUCAUCUACAGUGUCAACGUUUAUGAUCACUAUGUUUGAUGACAUGGCGUCAUAUCCUGGGUUGUUCUGAACAGAAUGAGCCUAUGAUUGUAUAUUGUGAAGAAAAUUUGCCAUGGAACACGCACCUGAAUGCACACAUUACUUUUCUAUGCGGACCAAAAUUAUGAUCUGUUUCUCUGAAUUGCCCUGUGAAAGCCUACCACUAAGAUCUUAUUUUAUAACUUAGCUAGUCAUGUUGGCAAUUGAGCAAGCUUUCAAAUUAUGCCCACCUGACCCAGAUUGUGAUUUAUAAUGGCCGUAUUCGGAUUGUGUAAACAACAACAACAGUAAUUGUGUGAUGACGGUGACACAGGGUUGUGUUCCUAACAAAACAACUACAAAUGUGCUUGCUCUAGUUCAAGAAAGCACCUUAUAGUUGAAGACUUAUGUCAUCAAAGUGCAAUAAAAUGACCUAGGAACUGUGCGUACUUUGGAGCAGUGUGUUGCCACUUGGAGAAACCAGUUAGUCCUCUCACUCAAAACCUUGUCAUUGCUUUGUCUUAUGCUGCAUCCACCACACAUUUUCCAUAGAUAUUCUUAUCAUGUUACUGGUAAGAAUCAACAAGUGCAGCAAAAAGAAAAAAGGCACAUCAAAUCAGCAGUGUAAUGUUUGGAUUCAGUCGUGUGUCAGGUGAACUGUUGUGUCCUCAACUUUGGUCUAAUAAUUUUCCUAAAAUCUCCAAACUUUCCCCCUUUUCAAUUGCUACCAUGUUUAUGCAUAUGCUUUUCAUUUUUCUUCUGUAAGAAACAUGUAACUGUAGCCCUAUCCAUAUAGGCCAAUCCCCAUGAGUUUAAAGGGUUACAUUUGUUCUGCAGACAAAUCUAACAAUCUUGUGAAUCAUGGUACCCUACACAAUAGACAGGCCUUGACCAGAUCAGUCUUCCACCAUCCCCAGCUUUACACUGUUAUACACUCUGUAUGGCAACACUGUGGCUUGGCGUACUGUUGAAACCACCGAAUAUGAUCGUUUUUCAAUAAUGUAUUAUGUUCUAUACUCAAAAUACCCCACAUUGCAGAUAUUCAGGACAUCAAGAACAACUUAAUAAACUUGGUUGUAGGACUUUGGUAUAUUGUCAUGUAAUGUUCCAUCUAUUUUAUUGCCCCCAGAAAUUGAAAUAAAACAACGUUUUUUUGAGAAAUAUAAUUGUGCAGUAUUUUACAAAUGCCAUUUUAUUCCAGGUGAAACAAAGGAAAAUAGU